CAGCGCUGGAUGGAUGGCGUCGGUGGGGGCUGCGAGGAGCCGAGCGGAUACGCCCACGGCUCAGCCUCCUCUCUGCCGUUAAAUCACUCGGUGGGACACGCGAGCGGACGGAGACUCCAUCCGGGGGCAUGAAAGGACAUGGGAGCAUACGGCCGGCCCAAACAACAUUCAUCUGACAGGAUCGGCCAGAGGACGACUUGCCAAAGGACGAGUGACAAACAGAUGCCAGCAGUGGAUCUGGCAGCGAGCAGGCGGAUUCUAAAGAAGUAAAGCAGGACUGGAAAGGGGCCGGCUUGUAUGGGAGCCAAAUCUCCGUCCAAGACACACCGCAUCGCCUCCAUCCACAGCCUCCGUCCGCCUCCUCCCUCCUCUAGUCCCCCAUUCGCCCUUUGUCACUCACAUGGGAGUGACAUAGAAGCCGGUGAGUGACCGGGGGCAUCCAGGUAGGGAUGUCGUGGAAGAGGAACUACUUUGCGUCCGGCGGCGGAGCGGUCGGCGGGGUGCAGGGCCUGGCGACCCCGAGAACAAUGACCUCCAUUGCGCCCAGCAAAGGACUGAGCAACGAGCCGGGACAGAACAGCUGCUUCCUGAACAGCGCUCUGCAGGUUUUGUGGCAUCUGGACAUCUUCCGCAGGAGCUUUCGCCAGCUGACCAUGCACAAAUGCAUGGAAGACUCAUGCAUCUUCUGCGCUCUCAAGAGCAUUUUUGCCCAGUUCCAGUUCAGCAGCGAGCGCGUGCUGCCAUCUGACGCGCUGCGGAGCGCCCUGGCCAAGACAUUCCAGGACGAGCAGCGCUUCCAGCUGGGCAUAAUGGAUGACGCCGCGGAGUGCUUUGAAAACCUUCUGAUGCGUCUUCAUUUCCACAUCAGCGCUGAGAGCCGAGAAGACAUCUGCACGGCCAAACAUUGCAUCCCGCACCAGAAGUUUGCCAUGACCCUGUUUGAGCAGUGCGUAUGCAACAGCUGCGGCGCCACAUCGGACCCGCUGCCCUUCAUUCAGAUGGUUCAUUACAUCUCCACGACAUCCUUAUGUAACCAAGCAGUGAGGAUGCUGGAGUGCCGGGAAAAGGCCACGCCCGACAUGUUUGGGGAACUUCUCCGUAACGCCAGCAACAUGGGAGACCUGCGCAACUGCCCUAGUAACUGCGGAGAGGUUUUGCGCAUCCGCCGUGUGCUGAUGAACUCGCCGGAGAUUGUUUCCAUUGGGCUGGUGUGGGACUCGGACCACUCUGACUUGGCUGAGGAUGUCAUACACAGCCUGGGGACUUGCUUGCGCCUGGGAGAUUUGUUUUACCGUGUGACAGAGGAGCGGGCUCGCCAGGCAGAGCUCUACUUGGUGGGCAUGGUGUGCUACUACGGCAAGCACUACUCCACCUUCUUCUUCCAGACCAAGAUACGCAAAUGGAUGUACUUCGACGAUGCCCACGUCAAAGAAAUCGGCCCUAAGUGGAAGGACGUGGUGUCCCGCUGUAUCAAAGGCCAUUAUCAGCCCCUGCUGCUGCUUUACGCAGACCCCCGUGGGACGCCGGUGAUACUGCAGGACAGCGCCAACCCCUGCGCCGGUACCGACCCACCGCUGGAGCUCCAGCAUUGCAGCAGCAAGGCCGGCUACGACAGCGAAGACUCCGGCCGGGAGCCGUCCAUUUCCAGUGACACGCGCACGGACUCAUCGACGGACAGCUCCAGCCACCGUGCCUGCCGCAGCCGACCGCUGCACCAGUCCACAGGCAGUCAUCUGUCCAGUGACUCUCAGACCACAGUGGUCUGCAACUACGAUCUUGGAACGUCAUCGCACGCUGUCGACGCGGGAGAGUCAGCAGUGGAGGGUCCUCCCCGGCCUGCCUCUCCCCCCCUGCAGGAGUAUAAGGAGACGGCCGUCUUCCUGCUCUCAUCCCGCCGGCCGCUCACCUCCUCCUCGUCCUCCUCUCGGCCCCUCUCGUCCUCCUCCUCUUCAGGAGUGGGGGGUUGCGAGAGCGGGGUCGGGGGGCCUCACUGGGAGGAUGAGAGCACCAGCAGCGAGAGCAAGUCCAGUUCCUCUGGUGGUUGCUACCGGCCCACCUGGAGACCCCGGAGAGAAGCCCUGAACAUCGACAGCAUCUUCUCGGGCCACAGCCAGCGGAUCUGCUCUCAGGGCUACCACACACUCCCUGGACCCUCUCACCCACCGCCACCUCAGCCGCCGUUACCCAGCGUUCGACCCACCACGCCUACACCACGAAGCGCUCAACCAUCAGUGGGUAGGGAGGUCGCAGAGUCGGGGGCAAGAUUCAGCCCGACCGUCCAGCCCAGAUCUCUGGUACGGACGAUGGGCCCCCCUCCGCCUCCACCUCUGAGGGGGGUCGAGCACCAGCCUCGUCUGAUUCAAAGAAUGGAGAGUGGCUAUGAAAGCAGCGAGAGGAACAGCAGUAGCCCUGACAGGGAGGUGGGCCAACACAAACGGACGCUGAUGUCCGGACCGUCAUGGCGCUCGGUGCCCAAGUCAAAAAGCACUGGAGCUAUCCUUCAAGAGCUGCCCUCACCCGUAUGGUCUGGCGCAACCAACACCGGGCGCAGCGAGCUGGACGAGCUUCAGGAGGAGGUGGCCAGAAGAGCCCGCCAACAGGAGCAGCAGAAGCGCAAGGAGGCGGAACAGGAGGCAGCCAUGGGCUUCAACCCAAAACCCAGCAAAUACAUGGACCUGGAUCAGCUCCAGCACCAGGCUGUGCUCAGACCCCUGCAUGAGGCUAGCGCUCCUAGCGGCUCGGCCGUAGCCGCGUGCAUGAGGAACGCUGCUGGCCUGCUAAGAGGCAGGCAGGAACAGGAAAUGCAGCAACGGGAGUCAGGAAGCGCCCCUCGCCCCCAGGGUCCUCACAGUGAACAGCCUGGCCCGGUCCAAGUACUGCUGAUGACUAAUCAAAAGGAGGAAGAGGACCAGGCGCCCAAUAAAGACGCAGCUUCGGGCAAGGACCCACCCCCUCCGCCUCCACCCUAUCGCCUGCCAGUGGUUCCUCCCCGCCCGACGCUCACCCUCAGUAUCGCCCAUCCGUGUGCCCCCUCUAGUGACGUCGGCGGAGGGGUGAGGCUGUGUGAGUUGCUGCAGGCCGGGGGGGUGAGCGUCAGACCAUUGGGAAGGCACUUGGCUAUUUCCCUGCCGUCGCUCCCGCUCCGCUUUUGGGAGGCGCCCGUCACACUCCCCCCUCCUCCCCCGCCCCCCGUCACGAAACCAAUCACACCUCUCUGGCAGCCCCCUCAGCCCAGUUCAACCUCUGCCCCUCAACCUCAGCCGCCGUCAGACUGCGCUGCCCGCCACUGGUCCUCGUGGAGUUUAGAUCGCCCCGACGCUAUGGUGACGACCUACGACACCCCUCCGGACCGCUACGCUGCUAUCCCGUCGCAAGCACCCGGGCCCGGUCGGCACUCCGUUCGGGGCAAAAAAGGACUCCCCAACAGCUGUGACCACGAGGAACCUGAACUAACAGAGCUUGACUCCCUUUACCAGGCUAGCCUGCAGGCUGGCAGGACAGGCUGCAGCCCGUCAGAGCGGCUCAUCUCUAGGGUGGGAGGGCAGGCUCGCUCCAGAACCCCCAACGCAGACAUGGAGAGGAGUGUGUUUGGGCCGGACGGCGCCAGCACCCCCACCUACCUCAACAAGCCAAUGAUGUUGCAGGGUCUGCGAUUGGGGGCAGGGCCAGAAAGCGAAGGAGACCAUCCGAGGCGAAUGGGACGUAGCUUGAGCGGCACGGUAGUGGUGACCCCGCGGCACGCCCGCCUGACUGCCACCCGCAGCUUUUCCAAGCAGGCUGAUGUCAGUGCCUCCUCCUCCCAUUGCUUACUUCCUUUGUCCUGAGUCCCUGUAGCUAUUCCAACACUAUCACCUCCUCCAUCCUCUCCAUCACCAACACUUAGUCAUCACCACCUUCUUCCUCUGCUUUCACAGGAGCUGACAGGUAGCGCCGGGAGUUUCUGGCUGUGUCUGACAGGGGUUAAGGUGUCCUCCGACAAGGGUCCCUCUCGGCCUCACUGAGCUCACGGAUGAGUUUGCCUCGGCGGGCCUGAAUAGAACAGAUCCUACCCUCGGAAAGCAGCUCACAUGCAAACACGCACACAAACACACCCGCAGCGCAACGUAGAGCCUCCCUGCUUCGGCCCCCAUCCCUCACCCCACUAUUCUGUCUAUGCAGUCACUCUUGACCCCCAAAACCUCAAACCCCCCUUUUGCUGUUGCUCCCCUUGCGACACUUUUUGGGAUGGCGCAAGGACGCUCCGAGUAGCCACGCCUCCUCCUCUUUCUCCACGGGCAUUUCCUGGCGGACGCACACACGUAGCAGCGGAACUGUUUCUCUGAUAAACAGCCAUAUUUUCUUUUCUUUUUUUUUUUUUUUUUUUUGCCCGAGGCCGUGUACAGAACAUGUAUGAACUCUGUAUGUUAACAAAUAAGACCUUAAGGAAUGUUAAUGAAUAUUCAAUAUAGAAGUGGGGGUACACUUCACAAGUGUCGAGGCUGGAUGUUUUUUGCUCCCCGCCCUCCUCCUCCUCUCGACUUUUCCCCCCCAGCUCACCUACCUGAAUGACAGUUCUCCCAUUUCUACCGGGAGAUUGAACAAGAAAAGCGCCUCCGCCGUUAAAACUUCUUUCACUUCCUGGCACCUUUUUGGAUUUUUUUGUUUUCUUUUAUUUUUAUUAUAUUUCCUUCCAAUGACUUAGGGGUUAGCUACGUCUAACUUGAUAGGAUUACGUAUGUCGGUCAAACAUGAUUUUGGAUAAGGUUACAAACAUGUUAUCGAGGAUUACGUACAGUGGAUGUAAAAAGUCGACACUCCCUUGUUCAAAUAUCAGGUUUUUUUCAGUAAUCGAAAAAAAAAGUAUCAAGAUUAUUUCAAAAUGUCUUCUAUUGUGAAUGUUACCUAUAAACUAUAAAAAUCAAUUGAAAACAGACAUGCCACAAUGUAACCCUUUCAGGGACAGUGGUCACUACAGUGGAGAGAUAUUCAAAAGUUUGACACUUAAACUCGUUAUCGGGCAAAUGACUAUUGUUGGGCCAUUUUAAAAAAACCUUAAACCUUUUUUUAUAUUUAGAAAUGAAUUUAUAAAUUAACACAAUGUUAAUAGAUAAAGACAGAAAUACACUUUAAAGUUGACCCCCCCCCCCCCCCCGGUAUUUCACUCAUAGCACGCCAUUAAAGGCGAUCGACGUCAAAUCAGUGUUUUUGGCAGCGCUUUUAAUUUUCGUCUUGGUCUAAGUCUUUUGAACGACAAUACUUAUUAGUCUUAGUCAUAUUUUAGUCAUCUCAAAAUGUGUUUGUCUUUGUCUAGUUUUUGUCAACGUUGACUAAAAAUGUUUUCAUCAGUAAAAAAAAAAAAAAAAAAAAAAAAAAA